UACGUAGGGUCCGAGCGUUGUCCGGAAUUAUUGGGCGUAAAGGGCUCGUAGGCGGUUUGUCGCGUCGGGAGUGAAAACACCGGGCUUAACUCGGUGCUUGCUUUCGAUACGGGCAGACUAGAGGUAUUCAGGGGAGAACGGAAUUCCUGGUGUAGCGGUGAAAUGCGCAGAUAUCAGGAGGAACACCGGUGGCGAAGGCGGUUCUCUGGGAAUAUCCUGACGCUGAGGAGCGAAAGUGUGGGGAGCGAACAGG
rnacentral:rRNA from 1 species